UUUCUCUUCACUUGAAACUGCGUUGCUUUGUUAUUUUUCGUUACCUGUUCGUGAUAAUUCUUGACAGAACGUCGACCAACAGUGGGAUUUGUUUCAAGCGGAGCCGUCUGGAUGGAGUUAAGAGCGGGAAAAGAGCAGCGAAUUUAGGAUGGCGCAUCACGCGCGACGAUAACAGGAUGCUUUACAAGCACAGCAAGCACCUGAGUGGACGAUACAAGAGGUCCGCACAUCACUUUAUCUGGCUCCUCUGUCUUUGGGUUCACCUCCUGCCUCAAGUGGAUGGCUUCUUUAUGUCUGAUGCUAAGGCUGUCCUGCAAGCAUGUGAUGACCACUGGACUUUACAGGGGCAGUGGCGUAUACCUGUGCUCUUUCAAACAACAGUAUGCGUGGACGUAAAGGUCCUUUCCCCAGGCGAGUGGACUGCAUUUAGCUAUGUCUCCGCCCCCGCACCCCGCUAUGAGCUGGCCCUGCAAGGGGAUCAAAACAACCUGUACGCAUGGCUGUUGGGCGUACGCCACCAGUUCACUGUCCAGCUGAACACUCAACGCUGGUACCACAUAUGUCUACGGUGGGAUGCCCCUCAAAAAAGCUUCAGCCUGACAAUAGAUGGGAGCUCUGAAGUAUAUCAGCGGACCGCCAUUGCCAAAGCAAUUCCCCCUUCUGGACGUCUUCUGCUGGGCUGCCAACCAAAUGAGGCCUCACUUAAGGUGAAAAUGGCCACAGUGGAGCUCUACCUUUUCCGCAUAUGGGAUGAUGUAGGAGAGCACAGGGUAUGUGAGGACGGGACCGUGAUUGGUUGGGACUCGCAACUUUGGGCUUUCACACGAUCCCAGGCCAGAGUCCAAGAUAACACGCUUCAAUGUGGCCUAAGGCAUUUGCGUAUGAAACGCGAUGUACAAGGAUCUUCAACCCCAUUCAGCAGUAAGUGCAGUGCAAGUGUGAAUUCACUUCACUGAGUACUAUUGUAGUGUGGUGGUGAGUAACUGUCUUGGGAAAGUUACUUUCCAAGCUAUAAGCUAUAAAUAAAUUAUAGUUGCC